AGAGAGAGACAUGCGCGCAUAUCAAUAAGCGGAGGAAAAGAAACUAACAAGGAUUCCCUCAGUAACGGCGAGUGAAGCGGGAAGAGCUCAAAUUUGAAAUCUUCAAGGUUCUACCUUGACGAAUUGUAGUUUAUAGAAGUGUUUUCUGUUAGUGGAGUGGCAAAAGUUCUUUGGAAUAGGACAUCAUAGAGGGUGAGAAUCCCGUAUUUGGUCAUUCCUCCUAGCGUUGUGAUACACUUUCAACGAGUCGGAUUGUUUGGGAAUGCAGUCCAAAAUGGGUGGUAAAUUUCAUCUAAAGCUAAAUAUUGGCGAGAGACCGAUAGCGAACAAGUACCGUGAGGGAAAGAUGAAAAGAACUUUGAAAAGAGAGUUAAACAGUACGUGAAAUUGUCAAAAGGGAAGCGUUUGACACCAGUGUUGUUUUUCCGAAAAUCAAUUACGAAUGUUUUGUUUUUGAGGAGUUAUGACUUCAUCGGCUUGCUCCUUUCUUUACGAAACUUUCUUAAUGCACUUUUCGGUUAACAAGUCAACAUCAAUUUCUUUUGUUGUAAAAGGGUAUGAGGAAGGUGGCUUUCUUUUCGGAGAAAGUGUUUAUAGCCUUGUGCCUCUGCAAUCGGAGAGAUUGAGGUCUGCAGCGUAGAUCCUUCGGGGUUAGAUACGUUUGUGCUAAGUUAUAGCUUUUCAUAGACAACUUGUUGACUAUGUUUAGUCUUGUAGCUUACUCGCUGACGCUAUUUUACCUACGCUUAGGAUGUUGAUAGUCACAGCGUGUAC
rnacentral:rRNA from 1 species